GGGGAUUUUUCCCCAAUGGGGGAAAACCUGGCGGAACCAAUCCCCGGGAGGGAGGAAGGCUUUUGGGUUGUUAACCUUUUUUUUCAGAGAAUAAGCACUGAAGGUACUUGAGGAAUCAGCAUCGGCUAACUCCGUGCCAGCAGCCGCGGUAAUACGGAGGAUGCAAGCGUUAUCCGGAAUGAUUGGGCGUAAAGCGUCCGUAGGUAGCAUAGUGAGUCUAUUGUUAAAGCGUUUGGCUUAACCAAAUAAAAGCGGUAGAAACUACACAGACUAGAGUGCAACGGGGGUAGAGGGAAUCAUAGAGUAGCGGUGAAAUGCGUAGAAUUCAGGAAGAACACCGGAGGCGAAAGCGCUCUGCUAGGCCGCAACUGAC
rnacentral:rRNA from 1 species